CUCAACCAAUAGAACAUGGCAAUUAUGACAUGGCCAUUUUGUGCUCCUGGCCCUGAAGAUCUAGGCAGCUUCAACUUCCUCUCUUUUGGUAUACCUCCUUGCCUGUCUAGCAGCCAUGGAAAGAGCCAUGAAGAGACAUGAAGUCUCCCCAGCCCAAAGCCUGUGCUGAGCUCCCAGUUACAGCCAGUGCCAACUGUAUGCCAACAAGCCGUGUGUGUCAACCUUGAAAAUGGGCUCCUCCUCCUCCACUCUACCUGCCUGAAAGGAUGCCUUAUAUAGCAAAAAAGGCCUGUCCCUCCUUAACCCUAUACGGAUUGCAGAUUUGUGAGUGAAAUAAAUAUCUUUUGCUGUUUCAGGCCACUAAAUUUUGGGAUAGUUUUUAUUCAGCAAUGGUAACUGAAACAGCUGUUGGUGCUGGAAUAUUGUGUGAGAUAGAGGAUAUUUUUGUGGCCAUUUUGGACAAUACCAGUCUGCUACAACUUGUGUUAACUUGUGUAAUCAUCACAAUAUUCAUAUGAGAGAGGUUAUUAUCCCUAUUUUACAGAUCAGAAAACAAUCGCAGUACCAAGGAGAGAAAGCUAGGACAUCAUAGUGCUGAGAUGUGGGCCAAGGCAGUAUGGACUCAAAGCUCAUGUUUCUGGUUCUAAUACAUUAUUGUCUUUUAUAAGUCUCUGGGAGUUAAGAGACCAGUUCAUAAACGUCAAGAGUUAUGAGAGAUCAGGGAGGAUGGCCAUGGAACAGUGAGAAUGAUGGGAAACUACCACACCCACAGCCACAUCAGGAAAACCCACCUGCAGAACCAGAAGAGCCACAGGUCACAUCCAAGUUGGCUGUGCCUCCAACUGUCUGUAUCAGAUGGAUAAUGGGGAUGACUCCUCCCUGUGCCUGGAUCAUAGAGGCUGGCACAGGCCAUGGGGAAGCUGCUGCUUCUCUUCAAGAACUUUAGUUCAUGAUUUUCACCUUUUGGAGCUGACAUUCUAACAAAUCACAUAGACAUCUGCACUGGUUUGUAUGUUGCAUACCCCUGACACUGAACGCUCUAUAACAUGGUGAUUUUCAACUUUACCAGGUCAUUCACAGUGGGAAAUUAUUUUUGACUUUUCAGUAAUUGCCCUUUUUUUUUUUUUUGCUGAGAAAGAUAUGCCCUGAGCUAACAUCUGUUGCCAAUCUUCCUCUUUUUGCUUGAGAAAGAUUUGACUUGAGCUAACAUCCCUGCCAAUCUUCCUCUAUUUUGUGGGUUGCCACCACAGCAUGUCCACUGAUGAGUAGUGUCGGUUUGCCCCGGGGAACUGAACCCAGGCUGCCAAAAGGGAGCACGCUGAACUGUACCACUAGGCCAUGGGGCUGGCUCUCUAUUGUUUGAUUUUUUUGUGUUUUUGGUGAGAAAGAUUAUCCCUAAGCUAACAGCUGUUGCCAAUCCUUUUUUGCUUGAGGAAGAUUGGCUUUGACUUAACAUCUGUGACAAUCUUCAUCUACUUCAUAUCUGGGCCACCACCACAGCAUGACUGACUA
rnacentral:lncRNA from 1 species